AGGGACCGAUUAUGGCUCAGAUUGAACGCUGGCGGGAUGCUUUACACAUGCAAGUCGAACGGGUGCACGCCGGUCUGGUGGGCGAGGUGAACGGGUGAAGUAAUGUAUCGGAACGUGUCAGUGAAGGGGGAUAACUACGCAAAGCGUAGCUAAUAAUGUAUACGCCCUUCGGGGGAAAGUGGGACCUUUCGGGCCUCGUACCAUUAGAGCGGCCGAUAUCGGAUUAGCUAGUUGGUGGGGUAACGGCUCACCAAGGCGACGAUCCGUAGCUGGUUUGAGAGGACGACCAGCCACACUGGGACUGAGACACGGCCCCAGACUCCUACGGAGGCAGCAGUGGGAAUUUUGGACAAUGGGGGGAAACCCCGAUCCAGCCAUCCUGCGUAUGAUGGCCUUCGGUUGUAAAAGCACUUUUGGCAGGAAGAAAACGGCACGAUAAUACUCCAGCAACGACGGUACCUGCAGAAUAAGCACCGGCUAACUACGUACAGCAGCCGCGGUAAUACGUAGGUGCAAGCGUUAAUCGGAAUUACUGGGCGCAAGCGUGCGCAGGCGAUUCGGAAAGAAAGAUGUGAAAUCCCAGAGCUUAACUUUUGGAACUGCAUUUUUAACUACCGAGCUAGAGUGUGUCAGAGAGGGAAUUCGCGUGUAGCAGGAAAUGCGUAGAUAUGCGAGAAACACCGAUGGCUUACGCGUUUCCCGAUAACACUGACGCUCAUGCACGAAAGCGUGGGGAGCAAACAGGAUUAGAUACCCUGGUAGUCCACGCCCUAAACGAUGUCAACUAGCUGUUGGGGCCUCGGCCGGUAGCGGCAGCACCAGUGAAGUUGACCGCCUGGGGAGUACGGUCGCAUGAUUAAACCUUUAAAGGAAUGAUUGGGACCCGCACAAGCGGUGGAUGAUGUGGAUUAAUUCGAUGCAACGCGAAAAACCUUACCUACCCUUGACAUGUCUGGAAUCCCGAAGAGACGGGGAGUGCUCGCAAGAGAACCGAACACAAGGUGCCGCAUGGCUGUCGUCAGUCGUGUCGUGAGAUGUUGGGUUAAGUCCCGCAACGAGCGCAACCCUUGUCAUUAGUUGCUACGAAAGGGCACCUCGACGAGACUGCCGGUGACAACCGGAGGAAGGCUGUGGGGAUGACGUCAAGUCCACGGCCUUGGCGGGUAGGGCUUCACACGUCAUACAAUGGUCGGGACAGAGGGUCGCCAACCUCGCGAGGGGAGCCAACCAGAAACCCGAUCGUAGUCCGAUCGCAGUCUGUGCAACCUCGACUGCGUGAAGUCGGAAUCGCUAGCAUCAUGAUCAGCACGUCGCAGGAAUACGGUUCCCGGGUCUUGUACACACCGCCCGUCACACCAUGGGAGUGGGUUUUACCAGAAGUAGUUAGCCUAACCGUAAGGGAGGGCGAUUACCACGGUAGGGAUUCACAUCAGUGAAGUCGUAACAAGGCAA
rnacentral:rRNA from 1 species